rnacentral:lncRNA from 1 species
UAGGUAUCAGAGGGGGUAUUUUUCGAAGAGUAUAACGCAGCGGAAUUAAAACAAAGAGAGCGGAACGCGUGUUCGGUCACAGUUAAAACGAAAUUGGUCCUUUUUAGCAAAAAUAAUUUUCUUUCAGAAAAUUAAUCAAACAGUUGAUAUUCGUAAAGUAAAAUGAGUGUAGGGAAUAGAAAAAUCACACGAGUAUUUUUAUACUGGUUCGAUUCAACAGAAUUUACGUUCAGUCGUUAAUCACUACAAAGAGUGAUUAACAGUUUCACUAAAAAUAAUCUUACAGAUUACAAUCAAAUGAACAAAAUAUAAAGCGAAGAAAACCACUCUACCAACUUGAAGAGAACCGCUCCGGCAAUCGACCAACAAUUCGCGAGCU